UACGAAGGGGGCUAGCGUUGCUCGGAAUCACUGGGCGUAAAGGGUGCGUAGGCGGGUCUUUACGUCAGGGGUGAAAUCCUGGAGCUCAACUCCAGAACUGCCUUUGAUACUGAGGAUCUUGAGUCCGGGAGAGGUGAGUGGAACUGCGAGUGUAGAGGUGAAAUUCGUAGAUAUUCGCAAGAACACCAGUGGCGAAGGCGGCUCACUGGCCCGGUACUGACGCUGAGGCACGAAAGCGUGGGGAGCAAACAGG
rnacentral:rRNA from 1 species